rnacentral:rRNA from 1 species
AUUGAACGCUGGCGGCAGGCUUAACACAUGCAAGUCGAGCGGGGUGAUGGUGCUUGCACUAUCACUUAGCGGCGGACGGGUGAGUAAUGCUUAGGAAUCUGCCUAUUAGUGGGGGACAACAUCUCGAAAGGGAUGCUAAUACCGCAUACGUCCUACGGGAGAAAGCAGGGGAUCACUUGUGACCUUGCGCUAAUAGAUGAGACUAAGUCGGAUUAGCUAGUUGGUGGGGUAAAGGCCUACCAAGGCGACGAGCUGUAGCGGGUCUGAGAGGAUGAUCCGCCACACUGGGACUGAGAGACGGCCCAGACUCCUACGGGAGGCAGCAGUGGGGAAUAUUGGACAAUGGGGGGAACCCUGAUCCAGCCAUGCCGCGUGUGUGAAGAAGGCCUUAUGGUUGUAAAGCACUUUAAGCGAGGAGGAGGCUCUUUUGGUUAAUACCCAAGAUGAGUGGACGUUACUCGCAGAAUAAGCACCGGCUAACUCUGUGCCAGCAGCCGCCGUAA